UCAGAGUACGUUUUAUUUGGAAUCUUUCUCUAUUUUGUGGGUCCACCACGAUAGCUCAGCUUGGCAUUUCCACGUUGGGUUUGGAAGAAGAAGAAUAAGCGAGAGCAGAAGUGAUCGAGUUCUCGUUGGGACUUGCGAGAUGGAGUCUUGCAGCAUUCAUUGAAUGCGAAGAAGCCUCGGCAUCGGGAUUUUGAAAGAGGUGCUCUCAUCCUGCUGCGAGUAACCGAGAGCAUGUCAUGCGUGAUCAAGAGUUGAUUUCUCUGGCGGAGGUUUCAACAAUGCUGUUGACUUUCAAUGCUAAAAACCCACUGUCAAAUUCAACAACAUUGUUGCGUCCUUUACCGUGUGGAAAUGACCAGUUGUUGGAUGUGAUGUUUGAAUGUUCUCAA